rnacentral:rRNA from 1 species
UACGUAGGGGGCAAGCGUUGUCCGGAUUCACUGGGUGUAAAGGGCGCGUAGGCGGGUUAGCAAGUCAGAGGUGAAAUCUCCCGGCUCAACCGGGAAACUGCCUUUGAAACUGUUAAUCUUGAGUGCGGAAGAGAGAGACGGAAUUCCAGGUGUAGCGGUGAAAUGCGUAGAUAUCUGGAGGAACACCGGUUGCGAAGGCGGUCUCUUGGUCCGUAACUGACGCUCAGACCCGAAACCGCCUGUAGCUUACCGCAUCAGAUGGCCGGGUAGUUC